rnacentral:rRNA from 1 species
CGCGUAGGCGGGACGUCAAGUCAGGGGUGAAAGGCCUGGGCUCAACCCAGGAACUGCCUUUGAAACUGACGACCUUGAGUACGGGAGAGGAUGGCGGAAUUCCCAGUGUAGAGGUGAAAUUCGUAGAUAUUGGGAAGAACACCGGUUGCGAAGGCGGCCAUCUGGCCCGUUACUGACGCUGAGGCGCGAAAGCGUGGGGAGCAAACA